UAUACCGUCGUCUAAUAGGCAAGACAUGGAUUUUUGGUAUCUGGAAGUGGGUGUUCGAAUCACCCCGGUAUAA
rnacentral:tRNA from 2 species